UCCUACGGGGCGCAGCAGUGGGGAAUAUUGCACAAUGGGGGGAACCCUGAUGCAGCGACGCCGCGUGAGUGAAGAAGUAUUUCGGUAUGUAAAGCUCUAUCAGCAGGGAAGAAAAUGACGGUACCUGACUAAGAAGCCCCGGCUAACUCCGUGCCAGCAGCCGCGGUAAUACGGAGGAUGCGAGCGUUAUCCGGAUUUAUUGGGUUUAAAGGGUGCGUAGGCGGGCAUUUAAGCCGGCGGUCAAAUGUCGGGGCUCAACCCCGGCCUGCCGUCGGAACUGGGUGCCUU
rnacentral:rRNA from 1 species